CAGUCGCCGCGGGAAUACGUAGGGUGCAAGCGUUAAUCGGAAUUACUGGGCGUAAAGCGUGCGCAGGCGGUGAUGUAAGACAGUUGUGAAAUCCCCGGGCUCAACCUGGGAACUGCAUCUGUGACUGCAUCGCUGGAGUGCGGCAGAGGGGGAUGGAAUUCCGCGUGUAGCAGUGAAAUGCGUAGAUAUGCGGAGGAACACCGAUGGCGAAGGCAAUCCCCUGGGCCUGUACUGACGCUCAUGCACGAAAGCGUGGGGAGCAAACAGGAUUAGAUACCCCCGUAGUCCCUGUCUCUUAUAC
rnacentral:rRNA from 1 species